GCUGACAAGAGAUGACAGAGUGAAGGAGCUGAACUCUGACAGAACACAGACACAUCCACCAGCUCAGGGCAAUGAAGCUGCGGCUGACGCAGCACAAUCAGUGCACAGCAAGAGAAGACUGAAGAAGUUACAGAGUCUGGUGCAAACAAAGAAGGGACAUCAGAGUGGCGCUGGGAAAGGGAAGAACACUCCUGAGAAUAAUGAUCAUUUGGCAGAUGUGUUGAGUAACAGCAAUCCAGUGCUGACCUGCAUCGGCCUGGGGAAG